CCGCUGAUGUCAAAAAUGUCGAAGUCGGAUUCAGUGCUCAGCAAGAUAUGGGGCAUUCCUUAUUUCUGUCUCCUCCUGCUUUGCCUUCAAGGCGCGCAGUUCGAUAUCGUGCUGAAACAGCCCGAGUCAGAGAUGGUAAAGACUGGACAGUCCCACAGACUGACCUGUGCGGUCAGUGGGUUCAGUCUCAGCGACUAUGGCGUGUACUGGAUGAAACAGGUCUCAGGGAAAGGGCCGGAAUGGGUGGCCGUUGUCUGGGGUAACGGUAACAAAGAUUACGCUCCUAGAUUCGAUAGCCGAUUCGAGGUUUCCAAGGACAGCAGCACAGUUUAUCUGCAAAUAAACAGCCUAAUACUGGACGACACGGCCACCUAUUACUGUGCGAAACACACAGUGAGAGAGAUCGGGAGUAGGACUGCACAAAAACCCAGUGAAAUCGCCGACCGGUAG